GGACUCCCCCAGUUCUGUUAAGAGCUGGGCACAAAGAGCCCUUUGCACUCCAGCCGCAGGAGCGAGGAACCGAGUUGGAGGCCCGUCUCUUCUCAUCACAUGGACAUGGCUGACCUGUCUCAGUGGUACCUGUGGGUGAAGCAGGGAUCUGGGUGGUGGAGGCCAACGGCUUUACCGAGUUGCCUCUGUCACAACACAGGGACCAAGUCUCCUGAACCUCAAGAGCUCCUGCUGGUUCCCAGGUGGAGGAGGAGUGGAGGGAUUUGGGAAAGGUCAUGGCCACCCUGCAAAGCAGCCUGGCAGAUAAGUAGCCCUUCACCAGCCCGCCCGCCCGCCCGCCCACUCUCUGCUGGUACACUUGAGAAAGGGUCAGCUCCGGAAGCCCCAAAGGGAGGGAGGGUGGAUGGAUGUCCUGUGGCUCUUGAAGAUACCAUUUGUAAGCUUGAACAGGCUCCUGGGUCUUGCAGACUCAUGGGGACCUCCUCAGGGUUCCCCGAGGGGCCAUUCCUCCACUCAGCUCCAGGAUCCCGUGGCAGGAGGCUCUAAGUGCAGCCGCGAGACGCCUCACCUUUCUUGGCUCGGGGUUUAGAGAACAGAUGUAGCAUGACUGUCAGGAAAGAGCGAAUCUGAGUCUUGAGGUGGGAUUCAGGGUGCUCCCUUCUCUCCUCUACCCUGGUGACAUGCAGUGGUCCACACGAGCCCUGCACCACCUGCAGACCACCUGUUUUUUUUUUUUUGUGGGAGUCACAGGAAAGAAUGGGAACUGAGGUGGGCAGAGGGCUUUCAUUUUCCAGCUAUGCCUUGAAUGGCCACUAUAGUACCCUUGUGUGACAGGGCAGGGAUUAGAGAGAGGCACAGGCUUCUAGCAGCCAGGAUAGUACUAAGCUCAGAAGUCCAGAUCCCCCUUCUGUCCGAUACCCGCCUCUGUUGUCCCCUAGCUGCUCAGUUUACUCUGAGUUUUCCUGGGCCAAACAAGAACCCACAAUGCUCUAGGUGACAGAGGAGGAGAAGGCUGAUGGAUCCUGAGGCAAGGCAGGGCUUGGGCAUGGUCAUCUCCUGGGGCGCAGGGUGUAUGUGGGUAUGGGGGAGAUGGGGUCUUCUGUCUUCCAGAGUCAUCCAGUGAUGUCUGUGUUGGGGAGGAGCUAGGAGCUAGGCCUUCCGUGAUGUCAAUGAUGUAAUGGUGUCAGUCCCUCACAUAGAUAUGAACCUGACCUUUAAGGUGAUGAUGCCAGGUGUCCAGGGGUGAACGACAGAGAGACGGUACCACCCUCUGAGAUCUUCAAGUACAAAAGCACAUCACCAUAGCUCAGCAAGCGGACAGCUUUGCGCAUCUACAGACCCUGAUCUGUCUUGGAGCCCUGGGGAUCCCUUGGAUUCUGACCUCCUGGAACUGGGGAGCAACCUGUCUCCCUGAAGACCCUUUCCUUCCCAGUACCUGAGACGGAGUUCCCAAAGAAGAGCCAUUCCUGGAAGAUAUACUACUUAGGAUUCACCUUGCCUUUGAUGGACAGCUCCAGGGGUCACGGGGAGGCUGUAGUUUAGAACCUGAGGCCUCUCCUCAUCCCAUGUGGACUGGAAUCCUCCAGUCUCUCGAGAUGGGGUGGAGCUAGGCCCCCUCCGGGCCACAGGGUGGUGUCUCAAAGGACCUGUGGGUAGGGCAGGGACUCCAUGGGCACGGAGUAAGAGCUGCCCAAUGUCUGUCUUUUGUCUGUUUUUUUUUUCUCUUUCCUUUACCCCCUUUUCCUUUUGUUUUCUUUUGUUUUCUUUUGUUUUCUUUUGUUUUCUUUCUUUCUUUCUUUCUUUCUUUCUUUCUCUCUCUCUCUCUCUCUCUCUCUCUCUCUCUCUCUUUCUUUCUUUCUUUCUUUCUUUCUUUCUUUCUUUCUUUCUUUGCUGCUUGAGUGAUGCGUCUGUUUGGGUGCUUCCUGGAUGAUGCUUAGCUCCCUGCUGGCUGUGGGGAGAGGACAGCUAGCCAGUCCUGGCCUGGGAGGAACCUGGCUAGCCCCUGUGCUAUUCAGCACAGGAAGGGAGCUUGGGAAGAGAUGGGGGUGCUCUAAGAUAAGGAGACCCAGUAGGGAGGUUCACGGCAGAAGCCCAACCCCCAGCUUCCUCCGGUCACUGGAGAAUGGGGGGCUCUCUAAGAUAGGGAGACCCAGUAGGAAGGCUCAUAGCUUCUUCCGGUCACUGGAGAAUGGGCUGCUCCCAGUCUGUGGUUACAAAGGCUUUAUGCAAUCCAUAUUGCAUAGCUGUGGAAGGACAGAGGCUGGCCCUUAUUCUCCUCAGGGCGCAGUGCCGGGGAUAACUGUCCAUUCUCCACCUCUUGCCACAGACCCUCUACAACUAGCAACAGAGCACUGUAUAGUCUUCCUUGGGACGGUCUAGAAACAGGCAGUCGUUGACUGGGGUGGGAGCGAGGCAGUUGCGUAUUUAUUCUUCAUCCCCGGCUGUGGUGCUCAGCUCCAGAAACUCACACUGCAGGGCUUGAAGCUGGCAAAGGAAGACCAAAGUGUCAGCAGUAGCUUCUGUCUUCAUGGGGCCUUCCUCUGUGUCCAGAGUGAGCGAGGGAGGCUCUGGAGAUUUGUCCAUAAGGGUGACGGUCUUGCCAUUUCAGGACCAGGGCUUACGACCUCAUCUGAGCAUAUCCUUGAUGACCUUGUCUCUCUGUGCCUUCACAGAGGGGCUGGAGAAUCAGCCUGUGCCUCUUGGGAGGGUGACUCUGACAGGGUGGCCUCACCAACCUGAGCAGUCAAUCUCUCCUUCAGAGUUCCUCACGUAGGGAGGAGCAGAUGAAUGUGAGAUGGGGACAGGUGUCUUGGGGACGUACCUGGAGGCUGCAGCCCUUGUCUCUACCAGCUUUGAUGUCUACAUUGUCACAUGGGUCAUAUGCUUUCCCGGUGGCGCAGGCAGCUCUCAGAAGGCCCUGUGCCUGGCUCAGUGCUGGGCUCUCAGGAGAUGUGCCACACAGUUCUGUUCAGUGGGAGUUUAGGGAGUUUAGGUGAGGGUUCAUCUGGGUUAGGUACUGGCUGGGCCUCUCGGAUCUGCCUUGCUGACCAGUCUGGGGCAGUAGCCACCUAUGGUCUCUGCGGUAGCUUGCUGUUUUCCAGGAGGAGAGGGACCUUGUUUCCUGCUAAAACAUGGAUCCCACCAUGGUUCUUUUUGUUGGUCAGCCAUCUUGGGAAAUACAGGUGCUGUCCAGCUGCACCUCAGAUGGUUACAGUUUCAUAGUCAGCGGAGAGAAGCUGUGUCCAGGAAGAAUUAGACAAUAGGCAGUCAAAAGAGGCCAGAGUAGGAGUGAGAGAGAGAGAGGCCCCAGCUCUGGAACUGGGGAGAGGCUUCCUAGUCAGGCUGACCCAGCGAGGACUUUGGGGGAUGAGAAAGGUGUGGCUUGGCUGCAUGCUUUUGGGAAGAAAUUAAGGCAAAGUUCAUCAGGUCAAAUACAGGGCAGUGCUUUGCAGAGCCUCGAAGUGCUGAGGAGCGUCUCAGACACUCAGGGUGGGACAGAAGGAGGAAACAUUUCCUGUCUUGGCUGGCUGCAGAAUUAUUUUUCUUCUCAAACAUCUAGAAUGCUGGGAGACAGAGGUUGGGCUUUAGAAGUGCCAAGAGUGAUAGGGAGAACGUUUAAGGCGUGCUCAGGCGUCCUAUUGUCGCCCGGGAGGAAAGAGAAGCUGGAGGGGUGGUGUGUGUGUGAGGGAGUCCAAGCUUUGCCUUAGGACUCAGGCCAGGUCCUUGCAGUUCUUCCUUUGCAGAGGAGGGCACAUGGUGGGAGCAGCCAGAGGCGUGGGAGUCGGUGGUGGAAGAGAUGUUCAUUUCCAAGGGCAGCAGCUCGGGGGGGGGGGGGUGGCUGGGUGAGCUGUUUUGUGGAAAGAUGCUGUGGUGUGUGUGUGUGUGUGUGUGUGUGUCUAUGUGUGUGUGAAGAUCCUUCUGGGAAGAGGCUGGUCACAACCAGGCAGGGGGUUUGCACUGAGGACAAGUUGGGUACAUUUUUAGAAGAUCUGUAAUAUUUGUGGAUCUCAGAGACCCACAGCCUAGAAAUGGAAGCUCUGGGUUUCCAGCGUGGCUCAUUGAGGUCAGGCUUGAUUCCUGCCAUGGGUGCUGACAGGUAUAGAGGCAGACCCCCUGCCAUGGUCAGACUCCAUGCCCAGGCUGGUGGGGACAGGAGGCCUGUGGUGGGUUGAGUGCGGGAGUGGGGGGU